GAUGAACGCUGGCGGCGUGCCUAAUACAUGCAAGUCGAGCGAACGGACGAGAAGCUUGCUUCUCUGAUGUUAGCGGCGGACGGGUGAGUAACACGUGGAUAACCUACCUAUAAGACUGGGAUAACUUCGGGAAACCGGAGCUAAUACCGGAUGAUAUUUUGAACCGCAUGGUUCAAAAGUGAAAGACGGUCUUGCUGUCACUUAUAGAUGGAUCCGCGCUGCAUUAGCUAGUUGGUAAGGUAACGGCUUACCAAGGCAACGAUGCAUAGCCGACCUGAGAGGGUGAUCGGCCACACUGGAACUGAGACACGGUCCAGACUCCUACGGGAGGCAGCAGUAGGGAAUGUUCCGCAAAGGGCGAAAGCCUGACGGAGCAACGCCGCGUGAGUGAUGAAGGUCUUCGGAUCGUAAAACUCUGUUAUUAGGGAAGAACAUAUGUGUAAGUAACUGUGCACAUCUUGACGGUACCUAAUCAGAAAGCAACGGCUAACUACGUG
rnacentral:rRNA from 1 species